AGCCAAUGAUGAUGAAAUUUGUAUAAGAGUAGUGGACAGAAGUGAUUUCUGAAAAAACAUACCUGAGGCU
ensembl:snoRNA